CCAGGCUCGCACGGCAUUGGCCAUCCGGCGAAAGCUGGCUCCCGCAAGGGCCGAUGUAGAGGUGGUGCAUGGCUGUUGUCAGAUCGUGUGGUGAGAUGUUGGGUUAACUCCCGCAACGAGCGCAACCCUUGUCCGAUGUUGCCAUCACGUUAUGGUGGGCACUAUGCGGAGGAUGCCGGUGAUAAACUGGAGGAAGGUGGGGAUGAUGUCAAGUCAGCAUGGCCUUUAUGUAUGGGGCUACACACGUGCUACAAUGGCCGGUACAAACCGUCGCGAUCUCGCAAGAGGGAGCUAAUCGGAGAAAGCCGGUCUCAUUUUGGAUUGCAGGCUGCACCUUGCCUGCAUGAAGUUGGAAUCGCUAGUAAUCGAGGAUCAGCACCGCCGCGGUGAAUACGUUCCCGGGCCUUGUACACUCCCCCCGUCACAUCACGAAACCCGCCUGUAGUAGAAGUCCCCGCGCUAACCCGCAAGGGAGGCAAGCGCGUAAGGUAUGGUCGGUGAUUGGGGUG
rnacentral:rRNA from 1 species